AUGUCUACUCCCACCACGGUAGCAACCGUUCGUCUUGUUAAUCGUUUGUGUGAUCUGUGAGACUGUGUGAGACCGGUGAGACGUACGCCGCAGUACUCCGUAUCAGGCGAAUUGUCGAAUUUAAGUCGAGAGUGUCGAGAUGGAUAAACCGGUUCUGACGAUUUCUCCUGCCAGAAGAAAGGAAAAAGAAAUGGAAACGCAGAUAUGUCGCAAAUAAUUGACAAUAUGUUCAAAGUUCAAGAAGAAAUGCGUAUCAAACUUGAUCAUUUGAAUAUCAAACUUGAUUAUUUGGAUAUCAAGUUAGAUCGUAUCAUCAACAAGCUAUGAGAUAAAAUUACAGCGAUCACAUGGGAUUCCGGCAUUUCCUCUACGCACAGAAGAGGAAUGAAAAAAAAUAAAAGAAGUUCUAACAACGAAUGAUGCUUUUACAUAUGUGAUAAAUAUCUCCACAGUGCAUUUUAUUAUAUUUUUAAUUACUUCAAAUUACAUAUUUACAUCCGCACUCUAUUAUUGUGUUCCGACAAGUGGUUAAUUUGAAUAUAAUUCAAAUCACAUUCAUAACAGUAAUUUAUUUGUGAAAUUGUUAUAGGUAGACAUUUUUGCCAGUAAAAUGAAAAAUAAAGAAUCGGAAGUUGCUGCUGUGCAAUCAAUUCUCUAAAAUUAUAA